rnacentral:tRNA from 1 species
GGAGAGUACAGCUCAGUGGCAGAGUGCAUGCUUCACAUGCACAAGGUCCUGGGUUCAAUCCCCAGUACCUCCA